rnacentral:lncRNA from 10 species
CCUCUUCUGAGAGGUCCAGCCUUUAAAGUAUGGCCUUCUGAAAACCUGACCCUGGGAGACCUGGGAGCCUCAACUUUGUGCAGACUCCAAAUGAGACUCACCAUGAUGCGCCAGAAAUCUCACACCUCUAAUCCACAAAAGGGAGAAGCUUCAUGGUUUAAAUGCCAUUGUCUCUAAGAGACUGAAAUCACUGGAUCUGUGGCAAACCAGGGCAGGGUGGCCUUUGCCACAAUGUACCUGGACUGAAUUUGUGGAGAUCAAUUUGGUGUUGGACUUUGUGAUGGUUUUAAUAUUCCUCCCUUCCCUUGAGUGUGGACUGGAUUUAUAGUAGU